GUGAGGAAUUUUCCGCAAUGGGCGAAAGCCUGACGGAGCAAUGCCGCGUGAAGGAUGAAGGCCUAUGGGUUGUAAACUUCUUUUCUCAGAAAAGAAUUAUGACGGUAUCUGAGGAAUAAGCAUCGGCUAACUCUGUGCCAGCAGCCGCGGUAAGACAGAGGAUGCAAGCGUUAUCCGGAAUGAUUGGGCGUAAAGCGUCUGUAGGUGGUUUAAAAAGUAUUCUGUCAAAGAUUAGGGCUUAACCCUAGAUAGGCAGAAUAAACUUUUAAGCUAGAGGUUGGUAGAGGCAGAGGGAAUUCCCGGUGGAGCGGUGAAAUGCGUAGAUAUCGGGAGGAACACCAAAGGCGAAGGCACUCUGCUGGGCCAAUACUAACACUGAGAGACGAAAGCGAGGGGAGCAAAUGGGAUUAGAAACCCCUGUAGUCC
rnacentral:rRNA from 1 species